rnacentral:lncRNA from 1 species
CUUUGUUAGUAUGAGAGGUAUUCAUUUUAUUUUUGACAUACAUAUUCUCUUUCAAAUACAGCCACAGAAGCAAUGAGAUUUGUGAUACAGUGAAACAGAGGCUUUUUCACAACAAGCUCAAGUACUGAGCAGAAGAAAAGCACAUGUGAGCAAGGCAGAAGAUCUAUCCCUUCCACCUGCACUGGCCUUCAUGCAGCAGAGGGAACAAGAGGAAGGGUAAAGAAAAAUAAGGAACAGGAACCAGUGUAAACAAAUAAAAAGA